CACUAUUCCUCCCCACUAAAAAUAAAAAGAGCGAUUGAGAAUCUCGAGAACCUCUGUCUUCGCGGGGCGAUUG
rnacentral:tRNA from 1 species